rnacentral:tRNA from 11 species
UGACAGGCUCUUGUAGCCUGAACAGCUAAAUAGACAACAGAGAAAUUAACGUGAAAAACAUUUUGUGAAAAUCAUUUAAUAAUAUAUGGCAUCGAGAAAAUCAAGAUUAGUAGUGAGGAAAUAGGGUUUGUCUAUUGAAAGCUAUCACGGAUCAUGAGCUCAACGUUUGCUAGACGUCAAAAGACCUAGAAAAAGGUAAUUCGAAUCGCGGGAAUCUAUUGGCUAGGCGUAUGACAGGCAUAGAAAACGUGUGAGUGGAAAGGAAAACCGGCUGCUCUAAAUAAGAUACUUCUUGCAAACAAUAAGUGAACCCGUUAUGCUAGCGAUAUUGAUAAUAAAUUUCAUAGAAAAUUGACGUCUCGUUAACUGAUUACGAAUCCAUUGCGCUAUUUUGCCAUAGGAGAAAACUUAAUGGUCAUUCAUAAUUAAGUAGCCCUUGGCACACAUAAUAAGCCUCUAAUUCUACAGCAGACUGAAACAGUUUAAUUCGUGCUAUUGCUUGAAUGUGUUUAACUUAGAAACAAAUGUCUCAUAUUAGCACUAUUUACAGACAAGAAGCAAGGGAAGCUCAGCAACGGUUGUGAAUGUUCGUUCAGUAAGUCGUGUGCACGCCGCAUUCGUUUCCAAUUCUUCGACGCUUUUCAGUUAUGCGUAGUGUCAUAGAUGGUGGUGACUAAAAGCAACAACUGAUGUAUUCGUGAAUUUCAAUCACAAAAGCAUAUUUGUAAAAUGCGAAUUAUGAAUAUCAAGCAAGCUAAACUAGAUUUGUGAACAAAAAAAGCUUAGCAAACCACCUUUUUCUUUGUCAAACAAACAUGCCCGCUAAUGCUACACGACUUUCCUCCUCAACCUCCCGCUAGGUCGAUCAUAUUGGAAGCUACAUGUUGCUGGGAUCGGUAGCAUCUCGAUCCCAAAUUCAGCGUCCGUAUUGUGAAAAAAAAGGAUGCCGACGUAAGGAGCAUAUAAAAUGCGUAGAAGGACCGCAGCGUCCGUCCGAUAUUGCAAUGGAAACGUGCUUAGCUGCGAAGGUGUAAGCAGCGAAUUAGGUCAUGUAGCUUCAGAACCGGCUGUAGAAGCACUUCAUUUAGUGUUAAAAAGCAUCUCAAGUUAUUUAAAGCAAUGUCUAAAUUAGGCACUAGAACACUUCUCCACUUCUGGUCACUACAGAUCUUCUUGAUAAUAGUGUGAUGUUAGUGUUGUCUAAGGAUGUCAUUAACCAAGUAGAUUGUAAUCUUUGGUUCAUUGAUUGAAGGGCAAAAUUCACAGGGUUUAACAGCCAACAGUUUUUGAGGCAAUAGUUUUAAAGUGUGGACUUGAAAAAGUGGAGAAGACCCCGCAAAAUGUUCGCAGCUUUUAUUCGCAUGAGCGAACACAGUUUAGGGUCAGAAAAGUAUUUAGAAUUACUUUAGAAUUAAUGUAUACCAAUAAAUUUUCCAAGUCAAUAUCUUGCUUUGAGUUGCACGGUGAUGAACUGUCCAUAUGGAAUUCGGCGAUUCCAGAAGUCUCCACAGUCUACCAUCAACAUCCUAGAAUUGUUUAUAUCUAAAUGUAUAAUAGACAAGUGAAAAUAACUACAAAUUCUAUAAUUUACCGAAGCUAUCAAAUAAUAACUAACUAGUCAAUUCUAGUUCCAUUUAGUCUGAAAUGCCCAAUCAGGCUUAUUUGAUCAUUAGUAAUAUACGUAUGUACAGCUUUAACUAUGUUGUUAGUUGUAACUUAGCAAAUUUCCUUCAGAUUGCUACUACUUAAAAUAAUGUCUCUCGUGUUGAUAUUGCAACAUCAUAUACGUAAUUCGGUUUUUUUUUUACAAUGUAUCAUCCCAUACGUUUCCUCUCUUAGAACAAAAAAAUUAUGAUCACUAAUGUGUUUUUUAUGGAUAGACCGCCUUUAAAAAGCUAGUGUUAUGGCCAUGGCCCUUUUUUGUGUCUUUUAGGCUAAGAAAAACCACAAGAUGGAAGGUUGGACGAGCACGGAGGGAUGAGGGUUUUAGAUUACUACAAAAUAUAUAUAUAACGGAGUGCUAACCGUGCCCCAAUCAAUUUUGUCAGCAAGAAGACUCAUCGGUAUCUCACACGUACUUCGGUUAUAUAUAUAUAUAUAUAUAUAUAUAUCGUGUGCUUAUUACUUCAACGCAAUGCAGAAAUAUUCACCAUUCAAAGUACUUACUUUUUCUCUUUCAUUCCAACUAUUCGCCGCUCAUAGUAUCAUUUAUAGUAGCUUUUUUCCAUUGUAGUUGCCGCUGUAACCUUUUUUACUUCGUUCCGGUUUUUUUCUUACAAUGCAUCCUCUUCUUCUAUGAUGGUUCACCUCUCAUAAACAGCUCAAUGGGUUAGUUAACAUGAUGUAACUUGUAGUACGCCUGCGCUCUAAUCAACCAUGAAUCACUUAAGUGAUUUUUUUCUAUAAUUUGCAGGAGCUUCAAUAUAUCUGUGUCUUUUGUGACAAGCUCAAAUAAUUAGAAACAUCUAUCCCGACAUCAGCCUGUAUUAACUCGCACUCCUGGUUACUUUUUUUACAGUAUCGAACAUGUGGAGAGUAUUUAUUCUGCUACGCCAGCGGUGAAUCUGUUAUGUCAAAGUACGCCUCAAAACAAACAAUCCUCCAUUCAUAAAUAGAGCUUUGCGCUUUGUUAAACCGCCUUACAAUGGUUAUUCGAUUUCUGUACAAAAUCGACGACGUCGUCGUCCCAUUUUAUCUCUCUGCAUUAUUAACUGAGUUCGACACUUCACGUGGGUAUACUUUAUCUCUUGCCAGUUCGCCGUUCCAAAAAAUCACUUUAUUUAGUACGUGCAGCAGGCUGUAGGGUAUAGUUUCCUUAUUUUUGUCAAAAAGAACUAGCAAAUAGGGAGGCGUUUCGGAUCAAAUUGCUUACCAUAUGUCCCGAUCAUUUUCCUUGCACUCAGUGAUUCCUGUUUUUUAGGUCUAUUUAAAGACUUAUGUCGCAUAUGUACAAAUGAAAUAGAGUAGGAUGUACUCAAUUCGCGGACGUUUCUAAAAUCGAACGGCUUUGGCGUUCCACGGCGUUAUCUUGGUUUGUAGGCCAAGAAUGUACUGCUAGAAAAUUAAUAAACAAUACACAGAAAUCAACUUGUUGGUAACCAGAGUGAAUUCACCGGUUUUUUCAGCUUCUGACUCUCGUAUUUUGUAGAUCUGUACCUUGUUUUGGUGAUCUUGUAAUGCAAGAAAAUCAAAACAAAUUAGUGUUUUUUUUCAGUUUUCCUGGUUAAGAAUGUUUUUUUUUUCUAAAUUUUUUUUUGUUUCGAACGAAGUUUUGUAAUCAAUACCGCGUUUUACCGUAUUAUGCAGUGUAUGUCUAAGUAGAGCACAAUGACUGGGCUAAUGCAGAUAGGUACUUGCGUUUGAUCAUUCAACUAUGGUCUAUUAGUGGAGACGAUAUUUCGGCAUCAGAACACCAUGAAUGUUGAACCGCAACAUACUCAUGUAGUGGUCACGAGACAGCCACGGCAAGCUUUGCGAUCUAUAAUAGUUUUCUGAGAGGAACGCAGUCAAACAGAAUUUGACCCUAUAGAAUUCCUGAAUAGACCUGAGGUAAUUUCUUAUUCUUUCUUUACAUACUUUGGUAUAGAAAUACUCUAUUCGAACAACGGCGUUAUUAAUAUUUAAGGUCUGCUGUUGCUUUUCUCUUCCGUUCAUUUACUUGGGCUUAGUAAACAAUCGGCCACGUUUCAAAAUCCAAUUACACUGCAACGAAAUCGAUGAGCUAUUCAACCGGUGGAAGGAUGCUUAAAGAAUAGAUUUGCCAAAGAACAGCAUAUUCAUCGCAAACGCUAAAAGUUCAAGAAAAAACUGGCACAUAUAUAUCUAGUUGAAGUAGUUCUCUAAGUAGUUACAAUGACUGUGUUCUGUGUAAAAUAAGCGGUUAUUUUGGCCUAGAUAAUGCUAAUUUAAGUGGUGCCAGUUGUCUUACUAUUCUAACCUGUUUUUCAGUGUUAUUCAUCACACAGCAGAUUUGCCAGGAGACUCGAACCAUUCCAUAACAGGUUGCUUUCUACGGUAUUGUUUAAAUCGAGUGCGCUGUUUAGAAGAAUGCGGAUACCUUGCAUCCGGGAAGAUGGCUGACGUAGGGGUGCAUUGCGUCAGCACCAA